rnacentral:tRNA from 1 species
GGGCGAUUAGCUCAGAGGCAGAGCAGGAGCCUUACACGCUCUGUGUCCGCGGUUCGAAUCCGCGAUCGCCCACCA